rnacentral:tRNA from 4 species
GCGGGAAUAGCUCAGUUGGUAGAGCAUGACCUUGCCAAGGUCGGGGUCGCGAGUUCGAGUCUCGUUUCCCGCUCCA